AUACGAAGGGGGCAAGCGUUGCUCGGAAUCACUGGGCGUAAAGCGCACGUAGGCGGGUCGUUAAGUCAGAGGUGAAAGCCUGGAGCUCAACUCCAGAACUGCCUUUGAUACUGGCGACCUAGAGUUCGAGAGAGGUUGGUGGAACUGCGAGUGUAGAGGUGAAAUUCGUAGAUAUUCGCAAGAACACCAGUGGCGAAGGCGGCCAACUGGCUCGAUACUGACGCUGAGGUGCGAAAGCGUGGGGAGC
rnacentral:rRNA from 1 species